rnacentral:rRNA from 1 species
GCCUACGGGGGGCAGUAGUAGGGAAUCUUCCACAAUGGGCGAAAGCCUGAUGGAGCAACGCCGCGUGGGUGAAGAAGGUCUUCGGAUCGUAAAACCCUGUUGUUAGAGAAGAAAGUGCGUGAGAGUAACUGUUCACGUUUCGACGGUAUCUAACCAGAAAGCCACGGCUAACUACGUGCCAGCAGCCGCGGUAAUACGUAGGUGGCAAGCGUUAUCCGGAUUUAUUGGGCGUAAAGGGAACGCAGGCGGUCUUUUAAGUCUGAUGUGAAAGCCUUCGGCUUAACCGGAGUAGUGCAUUGGAAACU